UGACCUAGCGGCGGACGGGUGAGUAAUACUUAGGAAUCUGCCUAUUAAUGGGGGACAACAUCUCGAAAGGGAUGCUAAUACCGCAUACGCCCUACGGGGGAAAGCAGGGGAUCACUUGUGACCUUGCGUUAAUAGAUGAGCCUAAGUCGGAUUAGCUAGUUGGUGGGGUAAAGGCCUACCAAGGCGACGAUCUGUAGCGGGUCUGAGAGGAUGAUCCGCCACACUGGGACUGAGACACGGCCCAGACUCCUACGGGAGGCAGCAGUGGGGAAUAUUGGACAAUGGGGGGAACCCUGAUCCAGCCAUGCCGCGUGUGUGAAGAAGGCCUUAUGGUUGUAAAGCACUUUAAGCGAGGAGGAGGCUCUCUUGGUUAAUACCCAAGAUGAGUGGACGUUACUCGCAGAAUAAGCACCGGCUAACUCUGUGCCAGCAGCCGCGGUAAUACAGAGGGUGCGAGCGUUAAUCGGAUUUACUGGGCGUAAAGCGUGCGUAGGCGGCUUUUUAAGUCGGAUGUGAAAUCCCCGAGCUUAACUUGGGAAUUGCAUUCGAUACUGGGAAGCUAGAGUAUGGGAGAGGAUGGCAGAAUUCCAGGUGUAGCGGUGAAAUGCGUAGAGAUCUGGAGGAAUACCGAUGGCGAAGGCAGCCAUCUGGCCUAAUACUGACGCUGAGGUACGAAAGCAUGGGGAGCAAACAGGAUUAGAUACCCUGGUAGUCCAUGCCGUAAACGAUGUCUACUAGCCGUUGGGGCCUUUGAGGCUUUAGUGGCGCAGCUAACGCGAUAAGUAGACCGCCUGGGGAGUACGGUCGCAAGACUAAAACUCAAAUGAAUUGACGGGGGCCCGCACAAGCGGUGGAGCAUGUGGUUUAAUUCGAUGCAACGCGAAGAACCUUACCUGGUCUUGACAUAGUAAGAACUUUCCAGAGAUGGAUUGGUGCCUUCGGGAACUUACAUACAGGUGCUGCAUGGCUGUCGUCAGCUCGUGUCGUGAGAUGUUGGGUUAAGUCCCGCAACGAGCGCAACCCUUUUCCUUAUUUGCCAGCACUUCGGGUGGGAACUUUAAGGAUACUGCCAGUGACAAACUGGAGGAAGGCGGGGACGACGUCAAGUCAUCAUGGCCCUUACGACCAGGGCUACACACGUGCUACAAUGGUCGGUACAAAGGGUUGCUACCUAGCGAUAGGAUGCUAAUCUCAAAAAGCCGAUCGUAGUCCGGAUUGGAGUCUGCAACUCGAC
rnacentral:rRNA from 1 species